GGUUCAUGAAAGUUAAAUUUUAAGAGUGUAGUUAGGGAUUGCAUGUCCAUUUUGCUUAGGAGGUCUUCUCUGAACCUAAAUGGAAGUUGGAGAUAAUUUUGCUGUACUUUUCAAAGUAUUUAAUCAAGAGAUGGCGCGUUGUGGCGACAACGACAUUAGUGAUUGAUGGGGGGCGACGGGUGGCAAGCGGCCGACGACUGAAGGAGG